rnacentral:rRNA from 1 species
GGGAGUGUUUAUACUGGAGGGGAAACACCCGUUCCCAUUCCGAAUACGGCAGUUAAGCCCUUCAAGGCCGAUGGUAGUGUACUCGUAAGGGUAUGUGAGAGUAGGUAGGCGCUCCCU